CAGGUCUUGACAUCCUAUGACAGCCCAGGAGACUGGGUUUCCCUUCGGGGCAUAGAGACAGGUGGUGCAUGGUUGUCGUCAGCUCGUGUCGUGAGAUGUUGGGUUAAGUCCCGCAACGAGCGCAACCCUUACGGUUAGUUGCUACGCAAGAGCACUCUAGCCGGACUGCCGUUGACAAAGCGGAGGAAGGUGGGGAUGACGUCAAGUCCUCAUGGCCCUUAUGGGUAGGGCUUCACACGUCAUACAAUGGUCGGUACAGAGGGUUGCCAAGCCGCGAGGUGGAGCCAAUCCCAGAAAGCCGAUCGUAGUCCGGAUCGCAGUCUGCAACUCGACUGCGUGAAGUCGGAAUCGCUAGUAAUCGCGGAUCAGCAUGCCGCGGUGAAUACGUUCCC
rnacentral:rRNA from 1 species